GAUAUCAGUUUCUAGGUCAAACACAAUAUUUGUGUACACUAUACAAAUUUUCAGCACACUAUCCUUUCAGCAGACCACUCGAUAUCAGUUACAUACAUAAUUAAACGAAGCCAAUGCUUAAAAAACAAAAUCCCCUCAACAAUGAGUUUACCAAAUAGCAGCCAAAGGAGUAAAGAACCGAACGAAGCUUGAGAAAUAACUCAGAAGAAGAAAGCACUAGACCAGUGGUGUAGAAAAGACCCAAACAAUCAGCAAACUCAGUUUGAUUUGUAUGGUUCUCGGCAAAACAACCCACCCACAACUGCCCCCUUAUAUAUAAUUUAGCUAUGCAUGGUUCACACUUCACAUGUCUGCACGCUACCGCUUACAACUAUGUCUGAUAGACAUACUCCUAUGUCAUAUAGUUGCGGUAGCAAUCUCCCUUUUAUGUAUUAAGGUUGCUAGAAAUAUCUUGCGCCUCGUUGUCUACAGGCAAUGGUGAUUCUCGGCUCUGUUGUCAGUUAUAUGGUUGUUGGCUGAAGGGCGUUAGAACGCUAGAAGAAGCACAUUAAGAAGUUUAUAGGUCUACAUUUAACAAUCGGGCAUGUUUCAUCUCUAUGCUCUAGCUUGAGGGGGAAUGUAGAGUCUUAUCUCUGAGUUAUUUCAACCUUAGUGCCAUUCCGGUCUGACCUGUUGCAUCACUGACGGUAUCGAUCAGCCAUACAGUUGGUAGUUGGUACUGGGUCCGAACAUUAAUUUUGUUUCAAGUUUCGGCCUACAGCGGGUGUAGGGGUGUAGGUUUCAUUAUUCGACCAUACUAACCGUCACAUUAUUAUAUGCUAUACACAAAAACUAGGCUGCUACAUGUGUUGUCUUCUGAGAUUGCAAAAUUUGGUUAGUUUAUAUCUCUUUGUAUAUGUGGCGCUCAUCCAUGGGUACUCAAAAUAUACAAUAAAUUGAAGCAUUGGAAGUAAUAAAAGCCUGAAAUGUCCAACAAAUCUAAAAGUUUUUUCUCUCUCCUCCCUUGAACGCAAUAUCUCUCUUUCUCAGAGACUCCAAGGAACAGCAAAGACAAAAAUGAAGAUUGAUGAUAAAUUAAAACUUUGAAAGUAUCAAAAACCUGCAAUGUUCUACAUAUCUAAAAGCUUUUCUCUCUCCUCUUAAACCCAAUAUUCUCUCUCUGAGACUCCAACAAGCAACAAAGAUGGCAUUGAAGAUUGAAGCUCUCUGAUUACAAGUGGAAGAUUCAUGCUCUCUCAUCUCUCUGAGUCUCCUACAAACAACAAAGAUAAAGACAAAGUCGAUGGGUCUUCUAUAGUUCUAUGGACAAUAACAUAUCUCCUUUAUCUCUCUUCUCAACGUGAGAUUCAAAACGAAUGCGAAAGGGCAGAGAGAACAAGGCUACCCAAUCAAACCUACUAAAUCUGACCGGUACCCACCCGAUCCAAUAGCUGCAAUUUCAAGGACUCAUUCGGUCAGCUGCAAGUGACGCUUUCUUGAACCCGAAUGGUUCAGAUGGAGUGACGGACUGAGCACAAAACCGACCACCCCUACUAGAUGUAAUGAUCAUGCAUAUACAAAAUCAAGGUCGAAUAAGCUCAUCUAUAGAUUUGCCACAUUAAACUUAUCUUCAUCUCUUCUUCUUAGGGCUGAUAAAUGGACCAGGCUACUAGAGUUCAAGUUUGAGCUCGUGUUUGCUUGUUAAAUACUAAUUCAAUAUCAGUUUGGUAUAGAUAGAGUCAUAGUCUCAUAGACAACCCAACCCAACCCAAACUUGAACAUUACACGAAGCUCAUUAAUGCCUUGUUUGGAUAGUGAUUUGAAAAAAAAUUCUCAACUCAAAAAAUACUCAUUACUCCUACUUCCAAUCAUUACUCACAUCUAUCUCCAAUCAUUAUUCUCAUUUCUCUCUCUCUCUCUAUCUCUCUCCAAUCAUUACUCUCAUUUCUCUCUCCACUCAUAACACUACAAAAAUUUCUCAAAAACUCAUCCAAACACAGCAUAAACUUCCCAAACCAAUCUUUAACAAGCUACUACUUUUACGCUGUUCAAAAACUCAUACUAUUCGAGAUCGGCUCAUUUAAAGCUCGUUUGAGAUUGACGUGCCUAGUCAACAAUCCAAAUUGUACGUGCUUUUUAAUCUCUAUUAUGUUUUCAAACCAAGCUUGAACAGUUCACUGCUUGGCUCGUCUAUCAGUCCUACUUCCUCAGCUCUAAACCCUCAAAUUCUAUUUUACACUUAGAAACAGUGAUAGCCAAGAUAAGGGCCCCACAUAGCCCCAACCAAGCCACACCUUUAAACAAGCAAGAGUGCAAGGACCAAGUACUACACAAUCUCAAAAUUUUACUACUAGGGCCCUUUUUAAGAUCCCUUCAUUUGUUUUUAAGAAAUUAUUUAUGGUACCUUUGAAGAACUUAUUCAAGAUAUGCUGAAAAUCCGCACCGUAAUCGCAUAAAUUGGACAGCCUAAUAGAUCAAUCCACCUUUGACACUCGUGACCCUCUAUCUCCUCCAGCAGAAGAUUAGCAUCAACCACCUUUGUCACGUGUUAUUUC